GAGAGAGAGAGAGAGAGAGAAGGAAAGAAAGAAAAAGAGGGAAAGAAAGAAAGAAGAAAGAAAGAGAAAGAAAAAGAAAGAAGAAAGAAAGAAAAAUAUAAUUAUUCAUCUGAUGCUCUUUCAACUAUUUAAAGGAAAGUUGCUAUGUUAGCUACUGUGACGCAUUUAAGGAUGCCUGGGGACUUUGAUAGCUAGUCUAGAGUAUCAACAGGUAGAUAAUGACAAGACAACGCUCCUACCACCUAUGUGGUAGAAGCUCACGGUCACAGCCCAUUACCUGAGCCCAUGCUCUGAAGUGCAUGCGCAAAUGGAGUUUUUGACAUUAGUUCAACCCAGGAGAUCAGGGAAGUGCAGCAGACAAAGAGUCAGUUAACCUGAUGCUUGUGGAUGUGUCCUUUAUCAGAGGGGAAAAGGACUAAAUGUGGGCUUGUGUGUCGCCAUUUCUUAUCAUCUGUAUCAACAUAGAAGAGACUAUCAGUAUUGUGGCAUUAAGGUUUUGUUUCUUUUUUUUUUUUCUUACUCCGUGUGUGUAUGUGUGUAGUAGUCAUGAAAUCUUGUUAUAGAAUUAAGAUCUCAAGAGAUUUUUUUUUUAUUUAUAGGACGGAGCAGUAUACGAAACCCUACCAUGUCAAAUGUAGCAUGGUCCCACAUUCACCGGUUCAUUCAUGGUAGGUCUGGCUCUGCUCGGAGUGUAUCUCAGUGGUAGAGUGCUUGCCUCUCCGUGUAAGGCCCUGAGCAGUACCUAAGGCACAAC
rnacentral:lncRNA from 1 species